UACAGAGGGUGCAAGCGUUAAUCGGAAUUACUGGGCGUAAAGCGCGCGCAGGCGGUCCUUUAAGUCUGAUGUGAAAGCCCACGGCUCAACCGUGGAGGGUCAUUGGAAACUGGAGGACUUGAGUACAGAAGAGGAAAGCGGAAUUCCACGUGUAGCGGUGAAAUGCGUAGAGAUGUGGAGGAACACCAGUGGCGAAGGCGGCUUUCUGGUCUGUAACUGACGCUGAGGCGCGAAAGCGUGGGGAGCAAACAGG
rnacentral:rRNA from 1 species